rnacentral:rRNA from 1 species
UACGUAGGGUGCAAGCGUUGUCCGGAAUUAUUGGGCGUAAAGAGCUCGUAGGCGGUCUGUCACGUCGGCUGUGAAAACCCGGGGCUCAACCCCGGGCCUGCAGUCGAUACGGGCAGACUAGAGUGCGGUAGGGGAGACUGGAAUUCCUGGUGUAGCGGUGAAAUGCGCAGAUAUCGGGAAGAACACCCGUGGCGAAGGCGGCUCUCUCGGGACGGUACUGACGCUGAGACGCGAAAGCGUGGGAGCGAACGAGGA